AACAAGGCAAUCAUCAUAAGGACUUUGUAGACGUGCUGCUUUCAUCAAUCCACCAACCAUUAAACCCCAACGAUGAGGAAGUCUACAUGCUCGAGCGAACAAAUGCCAAAGCCAUUUUACUCGACAUGAUUGCGGGUGCCCUUGACACCUCAGCCACGGCGAUUGUCUGGACCCUGGCCGAACUCUUGAGGCACCCGAAAGUAAUGAAACGUCUCCAAGAAGAGCUCCAGAGUGUGAUCGGGAUGGAUCGAAUGGUGGAAGAAAGUGAUUUGCCAAAGCUGGAUUACUUGGGCAUGGUGGUCAAGGAGAGCUUAAGGCUACACCCAGUUGCCCCAUUACUAGUCCCUCAUCAAUCCAUGGAGGACAUUACAGUUGAUGGAUAUCACAUACCCAAAAAAUCAAGAGUCUUUAUCAAUAUUUGGACCAUUGGGAGGGAUCCAAGUGUAUGGUCAGAUAAUGUGGAAGAAUUCUACCCUGAAAGGUUUAUGAAUAGUAACGUUGACCUACGUGGACAUGACUUCCAGCUCAUACCAUUUGGGUCUGGUCGAAGACGGUGCCCUGCUAUGCAAUUAGGGUUAACCACAGUUCGUCUUGCUCUGGGAAACUUGUUGCACUGCUUCAACUGGGAGCUCCCUAGUGGAAUGCUACCUAAAGACUUGGACAUGACUGAGAAAUUCCGCUUAUCGUUGUCGAAAGCCAAACACUUGCUUGCCAUGCCGACGUGCCGCCUGUACAAUCGACCUUAAUAUCUAUAGUACGUCUAGGCAUAAAUUGGAUUAAUGCAAAUAUCUUGUAGCUCAGUUGAUUAAGAAUAUUAUUCCUUGCCUUUGAGGUAGUUUGUUCGAUUUCCCUCUUGUAAAAAAUAAUUUGCUUGUCAUAAUGCCCACCUAUGUACCGCCUACACGGUCAACCUUCACAAAGGGUUGAAAUAAAUGUUUUGUAGUUAUAAUAGUGUUUCUUUGAGUAAUGCUAGGGAGACUGUUAAAUUUGUAGACUAAACUUACAAACUAAAUAAUAUGUUACAAAUAAGAAAUGAACACGUUUAUCAACAAUUAAAUGAUAAUCCAAUUAUCAACUUUCAUGUCAUUUAAUUUACAAAAUUUAAUCUCCCUAGCAUUACUCGUGUUCCUUUUAUGCCACCUCUGACUAGGAAAGAUUAAAGUAGUUACAUCGUAAAAGUAUUAACCAUAAUACGUUUUUCAUUCUCUUAAUUAAUGUUUAAAAUUAUCUUACAAAAAGCUAAUACAAUUGGAGCUGGUUUAGAUUAAUAUUUCAAUAAUUGCGCCCUUUUUACUUACAUAUCUAAGUUUAUCACUUUAUGUGUACUAGUUUGUUUUGUUUUUGGGUUUUGCACUUAGGUUUCAUUCAUUCGUUCAUUAUUUAUUUCUUUCCUUCUUUCCUCAUUCUUCUUUUUUUUUUCCCAUUUAUAUUUUCUCCACAUCUCAAACACAAAAUGUAAAAACUAAAAAUCAAAUAGCCAUCAGACGAAUUCUUAAAUUUUACUCUCUUAAAAUAUACUUUUUCUCUGGAACUCUCUCAUGUAGCACUCAUCUCGCUAUUUUUUCUUCUUAUAAUACAAUGAUAUGUUUACACCAAAGGAGACAAUAAACCGGUAUCAAACUUGUCAUUCAUAAGAUUCGAAUCUAAAACCACUCACUUACAAGUGAAGGGUAUUAAGGGUACAAGUGUAAUACGGUUAGAAAUAUAGUUAGUAAUAUAGUUAGUAAGGUUGUUAGUAUUUGGUUAAAAGUAGUUAGGAUUUAUCUUAUAAAAACAGUGUGUAAUCUUCAUUUUAGUCAGUUAAUCCAAAUCCUAUUUCUCUCUCUAAACUAUCUAUGUCGCUCUCUAAGAUCUCUGUGUUCAUUCUUCUUCAUCUUCCUUCUUAAUUUUCCUUUCAAUUCUCAAACAUUGCAAUGUAGUUAACAUGGUAUCAGAGCCACCAGGCUCACGCCAUAGAUUCUGGUGGUUCCACUUCCCAUUAUUUUUCAUAUGUUUCUAGCUUAGUUCUUUCCAAAUUUUCAUUAGAUGUUUGAAUAAAUUUCUGGGUGCUUCCGCGAUCGUUGUUUUACUUAUGGGUUGAUUUUUCUGGAUUGUGAUUAGAGAUUUCUCUACUGAACGUGAUUGAUUUUCACCGAUCUUUACUUCUCAUCGAUUUUGGGGAUUGAAUUUCUUGUUCUGAUGCAGAGUCGGCAAGUAAGUACCCUGAGUCAUGUUCACAAGGUGUUCGAAGGAAGACCUGAGAGAAGAAGUGUGGUACCCGAAUUUGUUUCUUGACGAACCGAUUUCAAUUCACGAUGUUCUUGGCCCGUCCUCUGCUUUGGUUCCGAGCGAUGUUAAUCAGGGUUGGGAUAUUAUCUUAUCGCCGGCCUGCGAUUCCAAUUCCAACAUGGUUUUUGAUGUUUCUGAUGCCAAGAACAUGGUCGAUUGGUCCCGGAUCAUCCUAUUGCUGGGCUCGAAAGGGUUCGUUUCUUUCGUUGUCGGGCUGAACCCUAUUCUUGAUCGUUGUUCAGGCAUUUCUUGUGCUGCAAUGGCUUCUUGGGCUUGCAGGGCACCGUAUAAGGCUGCAGGUUCUUGAAAGCUUGUGAAUUGUGGGAGAUUAUAAGGGUUUGAAGUCUGUGACAAUGGAUACGCUUCAAGCUCCAAGCUUGGUGGAAGAAAGAUUGUGAGAUUCCAUAUUCUGCCUUAGAUUGAUGAGAGACUUCUGGUUUUCUCUCUCAGCAUUCUUGGGUCAAGAUUGAAGUUCUUAUCAGGUUCUUGAUUUCUGGGUUUUCACAGUGCACAUAAUCUGUUUGAUUAAAUGUUUCAGUAAGAAAAUGUUCACUAUUUUGUUCAUCUUUGUUGUGAAUCUCUUCUGGGAUAUUAGUGUAAUAUUUGGGAUAUUUAGAUUCAAGAAUAUUGAUCGUCGUGGUUAGUUUGAGUUUUCUUUGGGUAUUCAAUAAGGUGAAUUGUAGUGAUUUGUGGCUUGGUGCGAUGGGUUUUGAAGAUGGGUUAUGUUUGCAGCUUAUUUUAUGUAUCAAGUAUCUUAGGUUUUGAAGAUGAGUUUGUUAGCAUUGUUUCCGGUUUUUGUGAGUGGAUGAUGUUGUUGCCUGUGUAGAGGAUGAAAGUACUGGCUAUAUAUUACCAAACAAAUGGAUCUGAACCCCUGUUACCUGGUCAGUUUGUCAGCAAUUUGACUGAUGGUGAUGUAUCUGUAGUUUCACCCAAUCUUAGCAGUAUAAAAUGGAGUAUAAGAGGAUUGCAUUUAGUGCCUCUGAACUUGUAAGAAAUGGACAAGGAAACUCUCUUGAAACUGGCAGUCUCAUUUCAGUGAAUCUUGGCAGAUCAGUGUGCCAGGGCAAAGCAGCGAAGCAAGCAGCAAUGCCUGUUUAUUAGAUUCAGCAAAGGUUACUGGAGUGAGUGUUCAGGUGCUAACUGAGGAGUUGUGCAGUAUAUUUCUUAUCACAGCCUGUAAUUUCAGAGUCUAACCAACUCAGUUGUUAGCAUGAAUCUACAGUAAGUCCGGUUAUACAAUAAAGUUUGAAGAAGUUGUAAACGGUAAAUCCCAUGAAGGGUAAUUCCAUGAUAUGAAUAUGUAAAUCCCACAAAGGGUAGAAGAAGUUAACGGUAAAUCCCACGAAGGGUAAUCCCGUGUUUUGAGUAGGUAAAUCCCACGAAGGGUAAUCCUACAUAGAUGUUGAUUUUCAAUUGUUGAAAUUGUGAAGGCCGAUGCCAUUGUUCAAAGAAGUUGUUUUUUGGUAAAAUCCAUAAAGGGCGAUCCCGUGGUUCUAUAGUUAAGGCCAAUACCACACUAUAGUUUGUUAAUUUUCUGUUUUUGUAAAUAUUAAAGGCCUAAGCCAAGUUGAAUGAGAUUGUUGACGGUGAAUCCCACGAAGGGUAAUCCCGUAAGAAGUUGUUAUACCGGCAUGAGGGUGUGCUAUAACUACUUUAUAGAAGGUUGUUCUUGUGUAAAACUCCUGAUAGAGGCAGAGGAAUACAGGGUGUCUUUAUUUGUAAGGCAAUGGAAGAAAUUUGGACUGACAAACAGAGGUUUUUGGUCAACAGCUACAAAGAGGUCAUGGGGUACACUUGUUUGAUUCAGGGCUCUGGGAAAGCUAUAAGCUUUGGUGAUAUGAUUUGAGUAUAUGCGCUUACUCUCUGUCGUAUGGCCGUACAUCUGCUUCAAGUUGUAAGAGAUUCAUUUGGAAAUAAACCAAUGGAUGAAUCUUAUGCCAAGUCUUUUGAGCAUGCUUAUCAAAUGCUAACCGAACUACAUGCACAAUUAGUUCUAUCCCUUUUAUCCAAUAAUCCAGUUUUGCAUAAUUGUUUUGUAGUGGAGAUGGUUGUUUGGCUCGUUUUCUGCAUGGCUUGCUGUUGAAGUGUUUUUGAAGUUAGUAUUCACUGUGAUGAUGUUUGAAUAGUUGCCUUCUAUCAGAUAGUGUUAGAGAAUCUAUCUGUUGAUCAAUGGAAGAAAGAUCGUUAUUUCAAAAACCUGUGUGAGAGCAGGUCUAGUUUUUCCAGCAGAGUGAAGGAUAAUCAGGUCUUGUCUUUCUUGUUUGCAGCAGGCUAAUCCAAAGUGUUGACUCUAGUUAAAGUGCUACAUGUGGACAGAUGUUUGGGUAUCAAUCCAAUGGUGGUUUUCCUAAAUCUACAGUUUCAGUGCUACCAUGUCUCAAUUCUUCCAAUCUCAAACUGAGUUUCCCCAGUUGAGAUUGAGGGGAAGUAUUAAGGGUACAAGUGUAAUACAGUUAGAAAUAUAGUUAGUAAGGUUGUUAGUAUUUGGUUAAAAGUAGUUAGGAUUUAUCUUAUAAAAACAGUGUGUAAUCUUCAUUUUAGUCAGUUAAUCCAAAUCAUAUUUCUCUCUCUAAACUAUCUAUGUUGCUCUCUAAGAUCUCUGUGUUCAUUCUUCUUCAUCUUCCUUCUUAAUUUUCCUUUCAAUUCUCAAACAUUGCAAUGUAGUUAAUAAAGGGUAGUAAAGGAGAAUAUUGUGGUAGCAAAAAUAUGUCGUUUUCUGCCUAGACGAAUUUUUACCUACAAAACAAAUAAACACAUGUGAUCAAAGACAAAGCCCCGCGCCCAAAGAGUGAAGGUGGGGGGUGUUUGGCCAAUGAAUCUUCAAUGUCUAAGUCAGUUUCUCUGAAAAGAGAGAGGUUUAGGGCUUAAUUGUGUAGCAAAAGUUUACUAAAAUUUGGUGGAGAAUGGGGUAUUUAUAGGAGCUAGGGUCACCAUGGAGGAGAGAGAUCUCGUGCUAUGUAUCGUCAUCCAGUUGGCUAAGGUGUGUCAUUCGUUGGAUGGAGUAGGUAAAGAAUUAUCCCAAUGAUAUUAUUGAAUAAAUAAUAUCUUAGAAUUAUCUUGUGGGUCCCUGAUUGGAUUUGAUGAAAAUUUCUUGCUUGAUUAUGUAUUGUAGUCAAAUCUCAUAUUUGCACUCGAAUAUAUCAAUGUUACGCAAGUGCAAUUAAGAUAUUUGCCCUAGUUUCAUAUAAUCUGUUAGGCACUGAUAGGAACAUAUUUAUGCGACUUAGUUAGCUUGUUCUUGUGCAUUUGUGUUGUUAUUUCUUAGUUAAUUAUGUAUUUUAAGCUAUUUUCGUGUGUUUGUAGGUCAUAAUAGCAAAGUUGGCAAGAAAGUGCAUUUUGGAGCAUUUUAGAGCAUUUUUGAGCCAAGAUUGGAUAGUGCAAGCAUGGAGACAUGAGGAUGGACGUUUGUGAAGAUUUGAAGGCUAGAAAUUAGCAUGUGUGUGUGCAAGUGUGUUGACCUACAACUCCAAACAUCCAUCCACUACACCCAUUACAUCCACUCAUUACCAAACAUCCACCCACUACACCCAUUACAUCCACUCAUUACCACAACACUCACCCACUACACCCAUUACAUCCACUCAUUACCAAACACUCACCCACUACCCAUUACAUCCACUCAUUACCAAACACUCACCCACUACACCCAAUACAUCCACUCAUUACCAAACACUCAUCCACUACACCCAUUACAUCCACUCAUUAUCAAACAUUUACCCACUACACCCAUUACAUCCACUCAUUACCACAACACUCACCUACUACACCCAUUACAUCCACUCAUUACCAAACACUCACCCACUACCCAUUACAUCCACUCAUUACCAAACACUCACCCACUACACCCAAUACAUCCACUCAUUACCAAACACUCAUCCACUACACCCAUUACAUCCACUCAUUAUCAAACAUUUACCCACUACACCCAUUACAUCCACUCAUUACCACAACACUCACCUACUACACCCAUUACAUCCACUCAUUACCACAACACUCACCCACUACACCCAUUACAUCCACUCAUUACAACUCCAUACACUCCUCUCCCUAGCCUAUAAAUACAUCCACCCUUCACCAUAAUUAGGGGGCCAUCAUCCAAAGACACCACAUCAUGUACACAACUCUCCACCCUUCACCAUAACUCACCUAUAUCCAUCCACCACCACAAGAGACCAUCCAUUCACCACUCACACCUUGGUGCUGCAUAUUUGCAAGGAAAGAGGAUUGCUUGGAGUUGUGCUAGUCAUUCAAUUUGGAUUGCUGGAGCAUUCUAGGUGUAUUCUACUUUGGUUUUCAAUGUUUAAUUUCAAUUGCUUCUGUUUAAUUGCAAGUAUGAGGAACUAAACCUCUUUUGGCUAGAGGAGAAUUCGAAACCAUGAAUAUAUUUGCAAUAUGAAUUUAUUACUUCUAAUUGUGAUUUGAUAAGUUGUGAUUGCAAUUCAAUUAUCUAUUUUAUUCAUAACGGAUUUGUGUAUGUUUAUUAAGGAUGCAUACUUAGUUUUCAUGCAUGAAUUUGAUGCUAGGAUAUAAAUAAGUUUCACCUAAUCGUUACAAGUUUAUAUUCAUGAGUAGUGAAGGUUGCUUGUCACAAUCGCGUUAAUUGAAUUCUUGGCAAACGUAUCAUGCAUUCAUAGUUACAAUUGCCUCGUCAAUGCUUAUGAUUUUCAUGGAACGUAAUGAUCUUUAAUUGUCGCAUGCAUUCAUCCAAUUCAAUGAGUAAAGGAAAAUCUGAGGGUUAAUUUGUGCAUCACGGUUAAUCUGGGGUGUUGAGCAUCAUAGUUUAUUGAAAAGCAAUUGGAGAUUGAUUUGUAUGCAAGUGUGUCAUGUGUGGAGAAAGACCUUCUAGCUAGCCCAUCAUCCAUCCAAAACAACCAAUUUCGUGCAAAUCUGUUUAGUUCUAGUUUCUGUUUUGUUUUACUUUAUUUUCGUCCAAAACCCAAUCCCCAUUUACUUUAGUGUGUCUAAUUAGUUAAAAUCUGUUUUAGUUUGUGUUUUUAAGUGUUUUGAGUCUAUAAAGUGUAGUUAAGUGUUUUUAAGUUUCUUUUUGUAAGUCAGUUUAGUUUAGAUUAGCAAUCCCUCCUAAUCCCCGGUCCAGAACGAUCCCUACUUAUACAUAUACUACAAUUGUCAAAAGAGGGUUUAAUUUGAGUGCUUAACUUUCAUCGCAUCAGGCACAUUCUUUAAUUAGCUUUGGCAAAAUUCUACGAAAAUUUACGAAACCACUAUUUUCAAAGAAUUUUUUUCCACACAACAAGCUUUUUAAAAUUCUUGCUAGACAAUGUAAAGAAGUCUGGAAAUGAUAGUAAGGCCACUUUCAAAGGGCAUUAUGUUUUCCUUAUUACUGGUGUUGAUGCACAAAAUCAGUGAGGACUUUGGUACAACAGAAAAUGUCAAGUUUGUGACCUUCACUAGAUUGCUCCGGUCACUAGUGUGGAUAAAUAUGUAAAUGGAUAGAGACAGGGAAGUAAACACAAGAUGUACGUGGUUCACUUAGAUUGGCUACGUCCAUGGAGUAGAGGAGUUCUCAUUAAUUGUGAAGGGUUUACACAAGUACAUAGGUUCAAGCUCUCCUUUAGUGAGUACUCGUGAAUGAUUUAGUACAAAUGACAUUAGGAAAUAUUGUGGGAGAAUGAUCUCCUUUUAUAGAAGAGAGUUUCUAGCUUUAUUCUGACAUUGACACGUGUCGUGUUGUGAUUGGCUUCCGAUGUUGACACGUGUCGCGUUAUGAUUGGCUUCUGAUGUCGACACGUGUCGCACUGUGAUUGGCCUCCUGGUUUGAGGGAAACUAUUCUGGGUCCUUGAUGGUAUAACGUUGAUCAGUGCUCGGUAGUUUCGGGAUUGGUCAAGUAUGGUACAAACAGUGCUCCCUUAAGUUCCCGAGUGAGGGAAGCUCCUCGGUUAGGGACUUGCAAGAUCCAAGCCAUUGAGUAAUCACGAAACUUCUAAGUACCGAAGUGUGGUAUCGUCUUCACUUGCCUUAUUUGUCUUAUAGGUAGAUGUGGCAUCUUCUCCGGAAGUACUUUUCCUCCAUCCAGAUGUGGUAUCUUUAACCGGUGGAGAUGCACUAGGUAAUGUAUCAAUUUGACUUGAAGCUUACUUGUAAUUUCAAGCUUGGUCAAGCGCGAUACAAACCAUGUAGUAGGAGUCCCCCAAGUCGCCGAGCUAGGAGAUUUGCCUAAAGAGGUGACAUACAAGGUAAGCAAUCAGAGUUCCAAGCAAUCAGAAGUUUGAUUUCGAGUUCCGGCUGAUUGUUCUCAUUCUCCCUAUCUUGCAGGCAUGAAGAAGGAUAAAGAGAAGAAAAAUGAGAAGAUAUGAUAUGAGAUACUUUUGCUUUUGAAGAAGUAACUUUCCACAGGCUUAUUCUUGAACUGGGCUGGAUGGUGGUUUCCUUAAGAGUAUAAGGCCGACUCAAGAAUUUGAGGGUCAAAAUAAGUCUAUCAAAUCUAGAGUACAUUCGACCCUGAUGAUAUGGGGUACUUUUGUUGUUGACAAAGUAGUGGAUGUAUCGGCAUGUGUUCUGUUAUGCUUGUCUCCACAUGCUUCCUUGUAUCCUUCUCACUUGCCCUAUCUGUUCCUUAGGCAGAUAUGGUAUCUUUUUUGGAAGCAUAAGAUGUUGAAGAUGAGUACUCGAGAGCAAUGCCAGAUAAGUAAUCAAGCAAGGGGUUCCAGGCAGUCAGUUCCUGACUGGAAGCUUGAUUCCAAGUGUUAACUGAUUGCUCUAUUUCUCCUUGUCUUGCAGGUAAGAACAAGGGCAAAGGAAAAUACAGGGAAAAAGCAUGAUAUAAGAUACUCUUGCUUUUGACCCUGAUGAUAUGAGAUACUCUUGCUCUGGUGUGGUUGGUUUGCAUAAGUAUUAUUGGGGGGAAGAAAGCUGAGUAUUUCUAGAGGCUUUGUUGAGAGUGCCUUAUCAGAUAUGAGGAAGGGUUGAGCAUUUUUGUAGGUCUGCCUGUCCGUGGAGGAUGGAAGUCGACAUAUAUAGAAGUCUCCCUAAUAACAAGUAGUAAUGAUAUUCCUUUACCCUUCUUGGUCAUAGCAAUGUAGUGGAAGCUGCAAGCUUCACGUGUUUUAACUUUGUCAAAGCACUUUGAAAAAGUGGUCCGUGGUAUCUGGAAAGCUGAUGUUGCGUGUGAAAAUUGCAGACAAAUUUUAUCCAAGGAAAUCUGGCUCUCGAAGUUCGGAUAACAGUGCUUCUUCGGUUUUUGAAUAAGCAAUCCUGUUGGGAAUCUGGCUCUCAAGAUUCGGAGAGCGUUGCCUCUUCGAUUUUUGAACAAGCAAUCCUAUUGGGGAUCUUGCUCUCGAGAUUUAGAGAGCGAUGCCUCUUCGAUUUUUUAGAAAGCGAUCCUGGUAGGAGUCUGGCUCUCAAGAUUCGAAUAGCGGUGCCUCUUCAAUUUUUGAGAAAGUAAUCCUGGUGGGAGUCUGGCUCUCGAGAUUCAGAUGGCGGUGCCUCUUCGAUUUUUGAGAAAGCAAUCCUGGUGAGAGUCUGGCUCUCGAGAUUCGGGGAGCGGUGCCUCUUUGAUUUUUGAGAAAGUAAUCUUGUUGGGAGUGUUUUCUCGAUGUGAGUAAAGGUUGGGCAUUUUUGCCAGUCUGCCUUGCCACGGAGCACGAAGGUUGACACACAUAGGGACUUUCCAGUUAUCAAGCAGUGGUGCUGUUCCUUUACCCUUGUGGGUAAUGGUAGGGUAGCUGAACUUUCAAAAUUUAUGUGUCUAAACUUUGUCAGAGAUCUUUGGCAAAGUCAUAUGUGGUACACGAGGAGCUGAUGUUGCAUGUGAGGAUUAUAGACAUAUUUUACUCAGGAAAAUCUGCUUCUCGAAAUCCGAAGAGUGGUGCCUCUUUGAUUUUUGAACAAACGGCCUUGCUGCCCUUUCUUUUAUAGGGGCACCAAUUGUGUGCAAGAAGUACGUUCAGAGAGUUAUUGCUUGUAGGAAUUUUCCCCUUAUUUUCGUACUUCAGAGAUUUAUUGGACCUCAUUUCUCCUUCAUCAUUUCUGAAAAUGUCUGGCCCAUCCGACCGUCGUUGUGACUUGAACUUUGGUGAAGAGGCAGCCAUGCCUUCUCAAGACAACAUAUGGCCACCAUCCUUCUUAUCCCCUACCGGUCCUCUUACCGUUGGGGACUAUGUGAUGAAGAAUGAUAUGAUCGCUGCGGUGGUGGCUAGGAACCUUCUCACUCCCAAAGAUAACAGACUAUUUUCCAAACGAUCUGAUGAGUUGGCUGUUAAGGAUUCUCUGGCUUUUAGUGUUCAGUGUGCAGGUUUUGUGUCUAAUAUGGCCCAACGCCUAUUUGCUAGAACCCGUCAAGUUGAAUCAUUGGCGGCUGAAGUGAUAAGUCUCAAACAGAAGAUUAGAAAGCUCAAGCAUGAGAAUAAACAGUUGCACAGGCUCACACAUGACUAUGCUACAAACAUGAAGAGGAAGCUUGACCAGAUGCAGGAAUUUGAUGGUCAGAUUUUACUUGAUCAUAAGAGGUUUAUGGGUUUGUUCCAAAGACAUUUAUUGCCUUCUUUUUCUGAAGCUGUACCGCGUAAUGAAGCUCCAAAUGAUCAACCUCCGAUGCCUCCUCCUUCUGGGGUUCUGUCCAGCACUGAGGCACCGAAUGAUCACUCUCUGGUGCCUUCUCUUUCUGGGGCUCUGCCGACUGCUGAGACUUCUCCUGGGCAACCUUUGUGAAGGCUCCCUCUUGUUUGUUUAUUUUGAUUCAUGUAUAUGUACAUAUUUGUAACUUAUCGGAGAUAUCAAUAAAUAAGAUUUGCUUCAUUUCAACGUAUUGUGUUAAAUACACCAAAGCCUUCUUCACUAAGUUCUUUGAAGUUUUUUCUUUUGUUGAAGCUUGUAUGUUGAAGCUUUGUGAGUGAAGCAUGUAUGUUGAGGUAGUGCUCCCUUAAUUUCCCGAGUGAGGAAAACUUCUCGGUUGGAGACUUGAAAAAUCCAAGUCACUGAGUGGUCGUGAGACUUCCGAGUAUCAAGGUGCAGUAGUAUAUGGUAGGAGUCUCCCAAGUCUUCGAUCGAGAGAGUUAACGAAUGAGGCAUUUCCUUUCUAAGUAAUAGCCCAAAACUCCUCCUUCAUAUAUAUUUGUUAUGAAAGUUGUUAGGACCAAAGAAGAGGAGGCCUAGGCAAUUUUUUUUUUUUUUUGAAUUUUCGAAUUUUCGAAAAUAUAUAUAUAAGCUUUGUAGGUGAAGCUUUAAGGUUGAAGCUUUGUUGGGUACCAUGAAUUGAUUUUGCUUCACAUUAUCUUGAUCAAGAGUGUGUGAAGCUUUUGUAGGUGAAGCUUUUGUGUUGAAGCUUUGUAGGUGAAGCUUUUGUGGGUGAAGCUUUGUAGGUGAAGCUUUUGUGGGUGAAGCUUUUGUAGGUGAAGCUUUUGUGGGUGAAGCUUGUGUGGGUGAAGCUUUUGUAGGUGAGGCUUUUGUGGGUGAAGCUUUGGUGUUGAAGCUUUUGUAAGUGAAGCUUUUGUAGGUGAAACUUUUGUGGGUGAAGCUUGUGUGGGUGAGCUUUUGUAGGUGAAGCUUUGUUGGGUACCAUGAAUUGAUUUUGCUUCACACUAUCUUGAUCAAGAUAGUGUGAAGCUUUUGAGAAUUUGUAGUUGCCCUCCAUUUGUUGAAGCUUUUGUUGGUGAAGCUUUGUAGGUGAAGCUUUUGUUGGGUACCAUGAAUUGAUUUUGCUUCACACUAUCUUGAUCAAGAGUGUGUGAAGCUUUUGAGAAUUGUAGUUGCCCUCCAUUUGUUGAAGUUGUUGAAUUUCCCAAUUUCCCUUCUUAUUUUUUUUUUUUUUGGGAAAAUUUGAAAUUUGAAAAUGUGGGAGAGACAACAUAUACAAAUUUUGCUUCCACACUAUUGAGCAAGAGAUUGUGAUGCAAGCCACACCUUGUAGUAGUCGAAGGUUUGGAUGAACCAUAUAAAUUGAAUUUGCUUCAAACAGUCUUGAUCAAGAUUGUGUGAAGCUUUCUACGAGUUGUAGUUGCCCUUCAUUGAUGAAGCUUUUGUUGGCACCAUAAAUUGGUUUUGCUUCACACUGUCUUGAUCAAGAGUGUGUGAAGCUUUUGAGAAUUGUGGUUGCCCUCCAUUGAUGAAGCUCUUGUUGGCACCAUAAAUUGGUUUUGCUUCAUAUUGUCUUGAUCAAGAGUGUGUGAAGCUUUUGAGAAGCUUUUGAGAAUUGUGGUUGCCCUCCAUUGAUGAAGCUCUUGUUGGCACCAUAAAUUGGUUUUGCUUCACACUGUCUUGAUCAAGAGUCCUUUGAUGAAGCUCUUGUUACCAUAAAUUGGUUUUGCUUCACAUUGUCUUGAUCAAGAGUGUGUGAAGCUUUUGAGAAUUGUGGUUGAACUCCUUUGAUGAAGCUCUUGUUGGCACCAUAAAUUGGUUUUGUUUCACACUGUCUUGAUCAAGAGUGUGUGAAGCUUUUGAGAAUUGUGGUUGCCCUCUAUUGAUGAAGCUCUUGUUGUCAAAACGCUUUUAAUGAUCGAGUUGGAGGCAGAUUGUCUGCCCUCCCAUUACCAUGCCCUUCCCAUCCCCUCCUACAUUGUGUGGUCACGGUUAAGCCACAUCAACAUUUUAUAUUGAUUUUUUUAUAGAGAUAAUAAGCUAUGUUGACGUGGCUUAACCGUGACCGCACAAAUAGGAGGGGAUGGGAAGGGCAUGGUAAAAGAAGGGCAGACAAUUUGCCUCCGAUCGAGUUAGCAACAAAUACACUUUGAUUGAGUCGUGGUCCCGUGAUGUUGUGGAUGGUUGGAAACUUGGGAUGAGGGUGCCUUACUUUGUCGUUGUGGAGAUGAGUCAACCGUGGUUUCCUUCUUGGCUUAGUUAUUAUUGUGUAUGUUUGUGUCGCAUAGCAGUUUGUGUGGUCUUACUUUUAAGCAACGGCUCUGUGUGAUCCUCGGAUACGUCACUACUGAUCUUUGCAAUUUAAUUAAUUGUUUGCAAUGAAGAAUCAAUAGCGAUUUUAAGAGAGACUACCACGCUCCAUGAUUAGUGCCUAUCAUCUCUAGGCAAAUUCUGACCUUAACUCUUUGUCAUGAUCUCUCUCUACAUAGUUAUUUGAAAAAAAAUUAAUUCUAACUAUAACAUUUGUAUGGAGAAAAUAAAUCAAUCAUCACUAAAUAAAUAAGAAUGUGGACAACAUGUAUUUUCUCCAAUUGUUUAAAUGAUUUAAUAACAAGAACGAAACCGUUUGCAUUUUGUAUUAUAUGCCAAAAGUUGCAUUUUAAGAAAAACCCGGUACCUUAAUAACUCCAUAAGAUAACUCAUUAGAAACAAUGUUACCUACAUUUUAUUCUUCUUUUUUUUUAUAUGAAAUAAAUAGCAAUAUUGGGUUUAUUAUUGAAAAAAAUUAUAUAUACAUAAUAACAAAAUCAUUUAUAUUGAUAAAAUACAUGUAAGUAUUGUAAUCAUAUCUCAUAUUUACACUCAAGUAUAUCAAUGUUACAUAGGUGCAAUAUAAGAUAUUUACCCAAGUUUCAUCGAAAAUGUUACGCACAUGCUUUAAUUAGUUUUGGCAAAAUUCUACGAAAAUUUUACUGUAAACACGGAAAUUCCUGAAACGAAAGAGACAAGAACACGUGUACAAAAUAAUAUUUGUAUUAAUGAUUUAGGGGUUACAAUCUCUUCUACAAAUUUAUCCUCUGAUUCUAUCUUUGAAACGUGUAGAUGUAGUGUUGUUGAUCCAAGGGCCGUCGAGGCUUGAUCUUGGACGAACAGUUGAUGAAUGAUGAACACCUUCUUCAAGGGCCGUCGGGGCUUGAUCUUGAAUGGGUGGAAGUUCUUCAAGGGGCGUUGGAGCUUGAUCUUGAAGGAGGAUUUCACGAAGAACAGAUAGGGCUUUCUUGAUCCUUCGGGAUUUGCUUGAGAGCUUCAGAGUUUCGAGGCUUCAAGGCUUUGGUGUGGUGUGAUUUCUCUUCCAAUUUGGGAGUAGAGAAAGUGUAUCUAAAAUCCUCCCUUGAUUCUUUGAUGGAGGAGCCUAUUUAUAGGCUUUGGGAAUGAACCACCACCAUCCAUUUGUUUUGGUGGAUGUUGUAGGUGAAUUGGUGGAUUGUUGUAGGUGAAUUUGGGUGGAGGUUGUAGGUGAAUUUGGAUGGAUUGUUGUAGGUGAAUUUGGGUGUAUGUUGUAGGUGAAUUUGGGUAGGUGAAUUUGGGUGGAGGUUGUAGGUGAAUUUGGAUGGAUUGUUGUAGGUGAAUUUGGGUGUAUGUUGUAGGUGAAUUUGGGUAGGUGAAUUUGGGUGGAGGUUGUAGGUGAAUUUGGAUGGAUUGUUGUAGGUGAAUUUGGGUGUAUGUUGUAGGUGAAUUUGGGUGAAGGUUGUAGGUGAAUUUGGGUGAAGGUUGUAGGUGAAUUUGGAUGGAUUGUUGUAGGUGAAUUUGGGUGUAUGUUGUAGGUGAAUUUGGGUGAAGGUUGUAGUUUUAAUGCAAUGGUCAACAUUUAUUUCACUAAAAUUUCAAUGUUUACAAAUGUAAUUUUAAUGUGAUGGCUAACAUUUAUUUCAACGAAAUUUCAAUGUCUACAAAUGCCCCCACUUCAAGGCGCGUAGUAUACAUGUGCUUGCCACGUGUAGAAGAUGCGUUUUGAAGUCCCUUAAUGUAGAUGUCGAUCCAAGGGCCGUUGAGGCUUGAUCUUGAACUGGUCUGGGAGUUUCUUCAAGUGCCGUUAAGGCUUGUUCUUGAAUUUUGUUUGAAAUUUCUUCAAGGGCCGUUGAGGCUUGAUCUUGGAUGAAAUUGGACCACAAGGAGCCUCACGUAGUAGACGAUCCUUGGCUUUGAUAAUGGAUGAAUCGGCACGUAUUUUGUUGUGCUUGUUGACUUUCCACAGCUUUGAUCUUGAACUAGGCUGGAGGAGUUUUCUGGUUUCCUCCAACGGACUUUCCACAGACUUAAUCUUGAACUGGAUUUGACUCAAGGGUGGUGGACACUUGAUCUUGAGUCAGGGUCGUUGAGGCUUGAUUUCGAACUUAAACAUGACCACGAGCAGUUUCAGGACAUGCAUGCUUUGAAAGAUCAAGGAAGUUCGCAGCAUUUUCAUAUGAACCCUGAGCAGUUUGGUCAACAGUAUGAUCUUCAAGAUUGAUGGGCUCUUCUUCCAGUUGGUGACUUGAUCUUUAAGGAUUAUCGAGGCUUUGCUCUUCGGUGACGGUGCCAGCGAAGGGUUGUUAAAGCUUCUCGAGCCUUUUGGUUAGAGCAACGCUGUCCAGCUUGGAUCUUUACUUGAACUCAUCCGUCUGGAUUGUGGUGGUUAUGCAGGGAAGGGCUUCAUGCUUCAUGAUUUAUUCCAGCUCGUUGUAUUGCAUUCUUCUCUGCUUGUUUCUUUUGCGUAGCUGAAGCGGUGUGCAACCUUUUGCCUUUAAAUGGUUCUUCGGAGCACAAUCUCUCAGCGACUCACCCAUGCUUGGCAGCUUCAGUGCAAAGCGCCGAUGUUAACAGAUCCACACUCCUGAAGCAUUUGCUGAGGGGAUUCGAGACAUAUCAGCAGUUGAAGAUGAGCACUCGAGAGCAACGCUAGGUAAGUAACCAGGCAAAGGUUCCGGGCAAUCAGUUCCUGGUCGGACAUUUAAUUUCAGGUUCCGACUGAUUGCAUCCUUUCUCCUUGUUCAGCAGGCAAGAGCAAGGGCAAAGGAGAAGAUGGGGGAAGAGCAUGAUAUGAGAUACCUUUGCUUUCGACCCCAGUGAUAUGAGAUACUUUUGCUUUUGAAGAAGUAGCGGACGAUCAGCACAUGCAUUCGUCGUGCUUGUCUCCAUAUGCUUCGAUGCAUCAUCUUCAUCUGCAUCAUCUUCACCUGCAUCAUCAGGAGCUUGAGUGGAGGUUCCGACAUAUUGCUUUCUUUAUCCUUGUCUUCGCAGUGAAGAGGGAGGACAAAGAAAAGGAUAGGGAGAAAGCAUGCUAUGAGAUACUCUUGCUCUCAACCCCAAUGAUAUGAGAUACCUUUACUCUGGUGUGGCUUGGUUGAAGAGGCGUUUCUAGGGAGGAAGAAAACUGAGUUUUGGUUGCAGAUGCCCUCGGCGAGGAAGAAAGGUCAGGCUGGAUGUGUUUUCAGGGAGGAAGAAACUGAGUUUUGGUUGCAGAUGUCUUCGGCAAGGAAGAAAGGGGUCAGGCUGGAUGCGUGUCUUGCUAUGGGAUGGAGGUCGAAUUAUAUGGUGAGCUCUCAACAUCAAGUGGCAGGGCGAGCGUGGCCUUGUCACCCACGCUUGUCGGCAGAAGUGUGGUAGUUGGCAUAAUGGACCUCACGCGUUUUCAACUUUGUCAGUGAUAUCUGACAAAGUUGCACGUGAUAGCCGAAAGCUGAGAUUGUGUCUGAAAAGUGUCGACGGACUUUACGCAGGAAAAUCCGGGUUUUGAAAUUCGGAGAGUGGUGUCUCUUCGAUUUACGAACAAAUGGUUGUGCUGCCUCUCAUUUUUAAGAGGUGUCAAUUGUAUUCAACACGCAAAAUUUGAAGAUUGCCUGCCCGUGAAAAAUUAUCUCUGCUACUCUUUGCUUCAUCCAACCUUUUUCUUUUAGUAUUUUUUGAAAAUGGCUUCCCCUUUUAACAUUUGCUUAGAUUUGAGUCUUAGCAGUGACACAGGUGCAUCGCGUCAGGGUAAUGUAUGGCGCCCGUCUUUUUUUUCUUCUAAUGGCCCUCUUACAGUUGAGGACUCUGUGAUGAGGGAUGCAACCACGGCUACGGUUGUAGCUAGAAACCUCAUCACUCCUAAAGAUAAUAGGAUACUUUCACGACGGUCCGAUGAGUUAGCUGUUCAAGAGUCCCAGGCUCUCAGUGUCCAGUGUGCGAACUCUGUUUCCAACAUGGGCCAACGCUUACUUGCUCGAACUCGCCAGGUUGAAUCAUUGACAGCCGAGGUGGCGGCUCUUAGUCAAGAGAUUAGGCAGCUCAAGCGUGAGAAUGGAGAGUUGCAUGUGCUUGCAAAUAGUUAUUCGACGAGCAUGAAGAGGAAGCUUGAUCAGCUGACGAACUCCGAAGGUCGAAUUCAAAGUGACCAUCGGAAGUUUGUGGAUGUAUUCCGGAGGCACUUUUUGCCUUCGUCAUCUGGAAUUCGACCAAGUAUUGAGGCUCCGAAUAAGCUAUCUUCAGUGCCUCCCUCCUUUAGGGUUCCACCGAGUACCAAGGCUCCAAGUACUGAGGCUUCACACAAGUGACAUUCGUGAAGGCUUUUUUUUUUUUUUUUUUUUUUUUUUUUUUUUUUUUUCGUGUAAUUUCUCGGAGAUAUUAAUGGACAUGCCUUAUUUUAUUCAGUAUGUUGUGUUGAAACGCAAACAAAACGCAUAUCUGACUAAGAUGCAUUACUUCCCUAUGCACCCACUUCCUUUUAGAUGGUGACUAGUGCACCCAUUUCUUUUAGAUGGUGACUGGAAGCAUCAUUUUGUCAUCACCACCCAUUUCCUUUUCCAUUAUUGACUUGCGAAUAGUAAUACACACUCGUGAGUGGCUUGACGAUAGCACAGUUGGUUUUUUUUUUGUGGCCUUCCUCACUGCAUUGCGUUCUUCUCGCAUGCGGACCAUCUUUUCACUUGCACAAUCACCUUAUCACAAUCUUCAUUGGAUGCGGAUUGCUUUUUUACACAGUCACUGUAUCGCAUGCGGAUCACUGUUUGCACAGUCACUGCACUACAUGCAAACCGGUUUUAUUUGCAGCCUGUUGAGACCAAUAUAUAUAUACACACGCAUUCAUACACACAUGCAUACAUACAUAGGGCAUUGCGUAGUCUUUACAUAGACACUGCACCAGCUUACUGCCCUGAAUCUUAAAUGCACUCUCCUGUUUCUUUGCUGCGACGUGCUCUUCUCGUCUGCCGUGUGGUGAGCUCGGUGUUGGACAAAAAGUGGUGCAGCUUCUUCAACCCCAUCACCCUGCAGUCGGUCACGUCUAUGUUCAUCGUGUUCAUCCGAAGUCUUCACUGCGGCAGAGGAAAAGCUCACCAUCAUCAAAAUUAGGGCAGCAACAACAAACUUCAUUAUCCUGCAAGCUUCAGGGAGAGUUGCAUGAGAGUAUGAGGACGGAAGGAUGAAGGACUGCAGCAUGGUUGCUACAACCGCUCGGGCUUCCGUUUAUCGUCCUCGACGGCGCUGCAAAUGUUUCCACCAAUGGAGAAGAGGAAGGAGGGCGCUGCCUUCACUCUAUGAGGUAUGUUUUAUUGCUGAGGAAGGUUUGCCGCAUAUAUAAAUAUAUAUAUAUAUAUUUUUUAUUUUUAUUUUUUAUAUAGUGCUCUGUCAGGCUGAGGUUGCUAAACCGGCGAAGAACCUAGGAAGGCAUCAAAAGUCUGCUCUGCUUGACUCGGUCAGAGAAAGUGAAUGCGAGUGCAGGUUCGAAUGACAAGGCCGUGUUGCUUUCCCCGUCUUCAACCGCUGCAGCUUCAUUCUUGUUGCUACAGGUUCGUCUUUGCUGUGGCUUGGAGAGAGAGACGUCGCUGCAAAGGAGAGAGAGAGAAACACCACAUCUGGAUUCAGAUUUUGUGCAUCUGCAGGUCUUCCUUUCGUUUGUGGGUGACUGUGCAACUUUUAUGAGAGGAAGAAGAAGAGUCAACGGAAAAGAAGGUGUUGCGGACGAGGUCGCGUGGCUGACUUGGAGGUCCACUUGCUUCGGGUGUGCGCACCAUGUGUUGCAGGUGGGGUUUUGCUGUGUAAUGCCUUUUGGUCACAGUUUUCCCUUGGUGGUGACGUUGGCGUAGUGCUCACCUUUGUAAUAUGGCUUUGUAACCAAAUCAUUUCUUUAAAGAAAUAAAAUAUUCAUAUCUUGAAUUGCUAUUUAUUCUUCAAAGUGUUUGUGUUUUUGUUGGUGAUGUGACUGUACUUGAAGUUUUGAAGUUUCAAGUUGCCUACGUACCCCCGGUUGAUGAGGGAUCAAGUCAUAACGUAGUUCGAAUGAACGAUGAUUUUUUUUUUUUAUAGUGAUUUUGAUGAUGAUUUUGCCGUACACAGUUUAUGCUCUUGCGGGCCAGGAGCCUUGUGCCGUGUGCAGUUUAGGCUCAUGCAGGCAAGGAGUCUGGUCGUCGCUUUUUAGGGGUAGUAACGCUUCAAGAAUCUGCCAUUGAUGGGACCGAUCUUCAAGCCGUCCUCUGCCAUGAUUAAGUAGGCGCCGCUUAUGUAGACCUCUUGUAUUACAUACGGUCCAUCCCACUUUGAUGUGAACUUGCUUUUUGUCUUGUGAGUUGUGAUGAUAGGCCUUCGUAAUGCAAGGACGAGAUCUUCAGUUUGGAAAGACCUUGGGCGGACCUUCUUGUUGAAUGCCUUGGAUAGCCGUGCUUGGUAGCAUUCCAGGUGUUGUUGAGCUUCGAGCCUUCUUUCGUCAAGUGAUUCCAACUCUUGAAGGCGCAACUUUGCAUUCUCUUCAUCAGUCAAACCUUCUUGUAUAGCCAUCCUAAGUGAGGGGAUUUGACUUUCUAGCGGUAAAACAGCUUCCACGCCAUAUACGAGAGAAUAAGGGGUAGCUUGGGUAGGAGUCCUAUGCGUCGUCCUAUAUGCCCAAAGUGCUUCGCUUAUUCUUUCAUGCCAGUCCCUCUUUGUUCGGCCGAUCACCUUCUUUAAGAGGUUGCACAAUGUUUUGUUGAAUGCUUCCGCUAGACCGUUGGCCGGAGCAUGAUACAUGGAAGACUUAUGCUGCUUGAACUUGUAUUUCUCACAGAGCUCGUCUACAAGUCGGUUGGAGAACUGUUUUCCAUUGUCCGUGAUAAUGUAACGAGGCACACCAUAUCUGUGGAUGAUAUGUUCUUUGAUGAAACGGACAACAGUUUCCUUUUUUUACUUCCCUUAGGGGUAUGGCUUCAGCCCACUUGGAAAAGUAAUCUGUUGCAGCUAGGAUGUAGGCUUCUCCUGCAGAUGACUUUGGAGUAAUUGGUCCCACGACGUCCAGUCCCCAUGCAUCGAAUGGCCACGAAGCAGUUGUAGGGUGUAAUGGUUCAGGUGGUUGAUGUAUGAAGUUGGCGUGGAAUUGGCAAGCUUGGCACCUUUUGGCAUGUUCCAGGCAAUCCUUCACCAUACUUGGCCAGUAGUAACCCAUUCUUUUGAGCUGGAAAUGUAGCUUUGGUCCAGAUUGAUGCGCCCCGCACACGCCUGAGUGCGCUUCUUCCAUGGCUUGAUUGGCUUCUUCCUCACCUAGGCAUCUCAGAAGUACUCCUUCGAAAGAGCGCCGGUAGAGUGUUUCUUUGUAGUAGAGGAAGCGAGGUGCUCGUCGACGUAUUUCAGAGCGGUGUCUAGGAUCAUCAUUUGGAAGUUUUCCAUACUCUAAGUAGUCAAUCAAUGGUUGUCUCCAUUCUUCAACAUCGACUGGAAGUACCGAGAGAUGACAUUUGUAUCAUCUAGUAGCAUUUCGGUGGCGAGGGGGAUGACCCAUCUUUGGCAAACUGGCACGUCUGCCGCUUCGUCUUCUCCUAGUGUCAUACUCGAGGCUAGGUUAGCGAGAGCGUCUGCCAUUUGAUUUUCUUUUCUCGGCACAUGUUUCUAGUGUUACGGCCUCGAACUUUUGUAGCAGCUGAGUUGCCAGUCGGAAGUACGGGACGAGAUCGUCUUUUCUCACCUCAUAUUCAGUCAAGAGUUGACUAAUUAUGAGCUUGGAGUCGCCAUAUACCUCGAGGGUUGUGAUUUCCAUGUUGAUCGCCAUUUGGAGCCCGAUGAUUAGUGCUUGGUACUCAGCGACGUUGUUGGAGCACAAUUCGCUUAGUUGGAAUGAAUAAGGUAGUAUUUGCCUUUGUGGCGACAUGAAUACUACUCCUGCCCCCGCUCCGUCUGCUCGUGCAGAUCCGUCGAAGAACAUCGUCCAUCUCGGGAAUAUGUCAAUGUAGAAUACCUCCUCGUCAGGCAAGUCGUCUGAGAUUUUCCAAUCGGCUGGGAUUGGAUGAUCGGCAAGGAAGUCUGCUAAUGCUUGUCCCUUGACGGCUUUAGCUGGGACGUAAAUGAUCUCGUAUUGAUUGAGAAUCAACGCCCAUUUAGCUAGUCGCCCUGUCAAAACUGGCUUGGACAUGACGUAUUUAACCGGGUCGGCUUUAGCAACCAAGUGGAUGGUGUAAGCAUGCAUGUAAUGUCUAAGCUUCUGGAUGGCAAACACCAAGGCAAGGCACAUUUUUUCUAUUGGGGAGUAGUUCAACUCAGCGCCGGUGAGUGUUCGACUCAAGUAGUAAAGCGCUCCUUCUUUCUGGAAUUCAUUUUCCUGUGCCAAGAGUGCUCCCACUGAACUUUCCUGAGCGGCGAUGUACAAUAUGAGUGGUUUCCCGGGCACAGGCGCCCCCAGGACAGGUGGACUUGAUAAAUAUUUUUUUAUGCUUUCAAAAGCGUUGUGGCACGCUUCGUCCCAUACGAACGGGACAUCCUUUUUCAUGAGUCGACUAAACGGUUGACAACGCCCUGCAAGGUUGGAGAUGAAGCGUCUGAUGAAGGCUAGUCGUCCUUGUAGGCUUUUCAGCUCGUGCAGGUUUCUUGGUUCGGGCAUGUUUCGAAUGGCCUUGAUCUUUGAUUGGUCCACUUCAAUGCCACGGUGCUUGACAACGAAGCCGAGAAACUUUCCUGAGGUGACGCCAAAUGCACAUUUUAACGGGUUCAUCUUGAGGUUGUAUUUUCGCAGCCUUUCGAACACUACUCGCAAAUCCUUCAAGUGAUCUGAUCUUUUCUUUGUUUUGACCACCACAUCGUCUACAUAACAUUCUACGUUUUUGUGUAGCAUGUCAUUGAAGAUUUUCUGCAUUGCUCGCUGAUAUGUGGCUCCAGCGUUCUUUAGACCAAAGGGCAUCACCUUGUAGCAGUAGAUACCUUUUGGAGUGCGGAAUGCUGUUAGUUCCUCAUCUUCGAGAGCCAUACGAAUUUGAUUGUAUCCAGAAGAGCCGUCCAUAAAUGACAGUGCCUCAUGGCCAGUGGUCGCGUCCACCAUGAUUUCGAUGAUCGGCAAGGGAAAGUCAUCUUUCGGGCAAGCGUCAUUGAGGUCCCGAAAGUCUACACAAACUCGUAUUUGUCCAGAUUUCUUAAGGACGAUGACGAUGUUGGAGAUCCACUUAGGGUAUUGCACCUCUCGAAUGAAGCCUGCUUCGAUUAGCUUGUCAAUCUCUACCUCAAUUUGUGGAAUGAGCUCGGAUCGAUAGCGCCUUUGAGUUUGCUUUAUUGGUCUCGUUCCGGGCUUAACUGCAAGAUGAUGUACAGCGAUGACAGGGUCAAGGCCGGGCAUUUCCUUGUAAGUCCAAGCAAAGACGUCUUUGUACUCUGAUAACAGUUGGUAAUACUCGUCUACCUCGUCCGCACUUAGCAACGCACUUACGAAGAUAGGUCUCUGCUCCUCUUUUGUGCCUAAGUUGAGUUCCUUGAGAUCAUCGACUGUGGAUUGCCCCCCAUCCUCCAGUUGUGGUGGCGCAGCAGUGACACCUUCUUCGGGGAUCUCAUCUUCUUCGCUUUCUUGGAUCGUGAUGUGGAAGACAUCUUGGAAUUCCUCUUCGGUGUCGUCCUCUUGGGCUGGUCGGCAUGAAGAUUGUCCAGUGUGGAUGAUGGUGCGCCUUCUUACUUUUAGUGGUCCAUUUGUGUCCACCUCCAAGAUUGCUUGGCGCUUCAUCCUUGAAGGAAUUGAGCUUCGAAUAUCACAUUUUUCUGCUAUUAUGACGAGCUUUUCUUCCUUUGACGUGGUCUUCCUAUUUCUAGAAAACUUCUUGUUGUCUUCAAGUCUUUCCAAAGCUGACUGACGAGGAAGAGAGCUAGUCGUGUUGCUUUGCUUCUUAGGUUUUGACAACCUUUCAAAAAACAGAGCUUUGGGAUGCUAGCAUGUUAAGUCUCUUGAAGACGGAGGUUCGGUUUUGACCACCAAUGCGGUUAAAUGCUGACAUUCUGGGUUUUGAACGAUUCAUCCUAUCGAAGACUGACGUCCAAGGGGUGGAUUUAGGCUCAUCAUGAUCUUGUUCAAUACUCACGCUGAUGUGUUGAGUGCUAGCGUUUUUCGCUUUGCUUGAAAUCUUCACGGGUGCGUUUGGUGUGAAAGCCUAGUCCAGCUUUGUUGUUAUCAAACUCCGUAACCGUGCUUCUUCAACUUCCUUUGAGUCUCGGUGAGGUCACGUUCUUUAUUGUUAACGGUGUUUGAAACCUUCUUUCCAUGAUUCGAAGAAGAAGCAAAGUCGUAGCCAGCUUUCGACAUGAGUUUAUAGGCGUUUGGAUCAAAACCUUCUUCGGUCCUCUGGGUUGGGAGAAAGCUUGGUUCCACCCCCUUUGGUAGAGCUUUUAUGAAGCCUUGUGGUAGUCUUGCGACCUUAGUGCCGCCUAGCUGUGUCAGAGGUAAAACUGCAUUCGUCUUGAGCAUCUUUACAUUAUCCAUAUACCUCUGUGCAUCGGCUUUGUUUGCUCCAGUUUCGAACGGGGAUUGACCAUUCUUUCUUCUCGACAUCGGGAUGUAUCGGAAGACGGGUGUGUUUGGUCCAUUUGAGGGCGUCUUACUCUCCUUUGUUGUUGCACGUUUAGCCAGCUCAUUAUCGUUCUUGCUUGAAGACGGCGUAACUUCUUCUUCUUGCUUCUUGGGCAUGGCUUGUCGUUCCUGCUUUUUAGGUGUUGCUUUGCCCGUGGAUUUGAUCUCUUUUGGAAGAGCUUCGGGCACCAUGUCUUCAUCCAUGUAGAACUUGGCGUCUGCGAAAUGUGAUUCGGCUUCAGUGAAUGGUUUGGUGUCGCCAUAGAUCACCUUCACUCCUUCUCGGUAGAAUUUUAAGCAUUGGUGAAGGGUGGACGGUACUACUCCAUUCGCAUGGAUCCAAGGCCUUCCUAAGAGUAAGCCGUAGGAAGUUCUUGCAUCAAUCACGUGGAAUAUCGUGCUCGACUUGAGUUCGCCAAUAGUCAUCUCCACUCGGAUCAUGCCCAUCGCUCUUUGUCCUCCUUGAUUAAAACCUUGGAUUAGUAGACGACUUAGGGACAGUUCAUCCGCCUUGAUGCCGAUUGUAAUCAUUGUCGACUUUGGCAUGAUGUUUAUGGCUGAUCCACCAUCCACAAGCAUGCGGUUGACUUUGUGCCCCUUUACAUACCCAGAGACGAAGAGAGGACGGUUGUGAGGCUUGGAUCCUAGCAGCAAGUCUUCGUCGGUGAAAUGGAUUGCGUCCUCUAUGGCACAAACAUGUGGCACAUUCAUGUGGCCGAAGCUUCAAGUCUUCGUUCUUGCUUUCUUGCACUUCAUGUUCAUUGGGACUUUCCAAGGCCGCUGCUAAUGCUAUUCGCAUCUUCUUUGGUAAUCGUAGCGCUUCCUCAAUGCUAAAGUGUGUUGGCAGACCUUCUUCGAGCGUGAGAGUUUUUUCUCCCUCAGUGGUGGUAUCUUUGCUUUUUGAAGGUUCUUCCGUUUCUACUUCGACCAUAUGGCAUGCAGCGAUGGUGCACUGUUGGAAGAAGUCAUUCGGGAAGUACUCGCGCAAGGAGACAGGAAUGCGUGGCUCUUGCUCCACGGGUUCCCCAGCAUACGUUGGCUUAUCGACUUUUACGUUUUCUUUAGGCUUCCUACUGUUGCGGCGACGGUGUUUUCUCACUUGUUCCACCUUUGGUCUUGUGGCUUGUGGUUUUGGUUUCCUUGUUUUUUUGUAGGUCACCAAUGUCCAUCCUUCAUCAUCAUCGGUAUACGCAUCUUGUUCGUUUGCCCCCGGCGAUGGUUGUGUAGAAGGCGCCGUGUAGCUUGCACAUUGAUAGGAAUGGUUGGGUGUCGUUUGGAGAGGCACGGGAUCGAAGGAUCCGAACGCCACUGUAGUAGUAUGUGUUGCGGCUGUGUCCUCAAGGUCUAGCUCGAUUCUCCCUUGUUGCGCUAGCUUCAUAAUGAGUUCUUUGAGGACGAAGCAUUUGCCCACAUGAUGGCUUACGAUACGAUGGUACUUGCAGUACCUAGGAUCGUUCGUUCGAUUCAUUUCUUCAGGGCGCUUGCACUCUGGUAACUCAAUUACCUUCUUUUCCAGCAAGUCAUCUAACAUUGCAUCCACGUCUGAGUCAGGAAAAGGGUACGUCUUUUGCUCCAACUCUCUCAAGGUGUUUUUAUACUUGUCUUGGGUGCGAGGAGGCUCACUUCUUUUUGUCUCCUUUGCCUUGGUCUUGGAGGAAAUCUUGAUAGGUGCAGAGGUGGUCUUGAUAGGCGCGGAUGGGGUUUUGAUGGGGGUAGUGUUGACAGUAAAAGUUUCCUUUGCAGGCUUUUUUCCGGUCUUGUCCACACUCGGGGCGAACACCUUAUCCUUCUUGAAGUGGGUGAUCGGCUCAUUCUUUCCGUGAUUGGCGAUACUCAGCUCCAUGUCGUGGGAGCGCGUUGCCAGCUCCUCAAACGUUCUUGGUUUUAUGCCUUGGAGAAUGUAAUGUAACCCCCAGUGCAUGCCUUGAACACACAUCUCAAUGGCAGAGGUUUCAGAGAGCCGAUCUUUGCAAUCCAGACUUAAUGAACGCCAUCUAUUGAUGUAGUCGACGACGGGUUCCUCCUUCCACUGUUUCGUACUGGUCAGCUCCAGCAUGCUUACGGUGCGGCGCGUGCUGUAGAAACGGUUGAGGAAUUCCUUUUCUAGCUGAUCCCAACUGCUGAUAGACUCGGGCUCGAGGUCGGUGUACCAGUCAAAGGCGUUGCUUUUCAGCGAGCGCACGAACUGCUUGACGAGGUAGUCUCCCUCUGUUCCAGCAUUGCUGCAGGUUUCAAUGAAGUGGGCGAUAUGUUGCUUCGGGUUCCCCUUUCCAUCGAACUGCAUAAACUUUGGUGGUUGAUAGCCCUUUGGCAUCUUCAAAGCGUCAAUCUUCUUGGAGUAGGGCUUUGAGUAUAGUACGGAAUCAUGUGAGCUUCCUUCAUACUGCGCCUUGAUGGUGUUGGCGAUCAUCUCCUGCAGCUGCUGGAUAGAGAGAGACCCCAUAAGUGUCGCCGCUUGGUCUAGCUUCAGCGUCUCUUCGACGUUCUCCACUGGAGGUUCCUCAUCCUCGUCGUUUUCCUUCUUUACCGGAUUAUCCCCUUGCCUGGCUUUCUCAUCGGGCUUUGCAUCUAGUUGGUUAACAAGUGCUGCGAUUUGCAGGUCUUUUUCCUCCACAGUCCUUGUGAGCUUUGCGAUUGCUUCGUUCAUCUGAGCCAGCUGCUCCUCAAUUGAAGUUGUUCCGGUAACCAUGACUUGCAUAGCUAUGCCGCUGCUCGAGUCGGCAUCGGAAAGUAAGGAUUCAGAGUACUUCCUCUGGCUUUCCUCUCUUGGCGCCCUGAGCGAGGCCAGGGUGAUCACCGGUUCGAACCUCGGGUGCUCUUGUGCCUUCGGCGGAGUUGAUGAAGGGGCGAAAGAGGCGGCGGAAAGAGCUUUUGCCUUACUUCGAGUUAUGAUGCCUGAAGUGAUGCCCCCUGUCGUGAUGACGCUCUUGUUUCUUGCAUUGGCAGCGAGAACAACUUGGGCCUUCCUUGACGCCAUUUGUGCUUGUUGCGGAUUCAAAGAUAGAGAUGAGAGGUAGAGACUGUCCCACCGAGCGUGCCAAAUUUGUAAACACGGAAAUUCCUGAAACGAAAGAGACAAGAACACGUGUACAAAAUAAUAUUUGUAUUAAUGAUUUAGGGGUUACAAUCUCUUCUACAAAUUUAUCCUCUGAUUCUAUCUUUGAAACGUGUAGAUGUAGUGUUGUUGAUCCAAGGGCCGUCGAGGCUUGAUCUUGGACGAACAGUUGAUGAAUGAUGAACACCUUCUUCAAGGGCCGUCGGGGCUUGAUCUUGAAUGGGUGGAAGUUCUUCAAGGGGCGUUGGAGCUUGAUCUUGAAGGAGGAUUUCACGAAGAACAGAUAGGGCUUUCUUGAUCCUUCGGGAUUUGCUUGAGAGCUUCAGAGUUUCGAGGCUUCAAGGCUUUGGUGUGGUGUGAUUUCUCUUCCAAUUUGGGAGUAGAGAAAGUGUAUCUAAAAUCCUCCCUUGAUUCUUUGAUGGAGGAGCCUAUUUAUAGGCUUUGGGAAUGAACCACCACCAUCCAUUUGUUUUGGUGGAUGUUGUAGGUGAAUUGGUGGAUUGUUGUAGGUGAAUUUGGGUGGAGGUUGUAGGUGAAUUUGGAUGGAUUGUUGUAGGUGAAUUUGGGUGUAUGUUGUAGGUGAAUUUGGGUAGGUGAAUUUGGGUGGAGGUUGUAGGUGAAUUUGGAUGGAUUGUUGUAGGUGAAUUUGGGUGUAUGUUGUAGGUGAAUUUGGGUAGGUGAAUUUGGGUGGAGGUUGUAGGUGAAUUUGGAUGGAUUGUUGUAGGUGAAUUUGGGUGUAUGUUGUAGGUGAAUUUGGGUGAAGGUUGUAGGUGAAUUUGGGUGAAGGUUGUAGGUGAAUUUGGAUGGAUUGUUGUAGGUGAAUUUGGGUGUAUGUUGUAGGUGAAUUUGGGUGAAGGUUGUAGUUUUAAUGCAAUGGUCAACAUUUAUUUCACUAAAAUUUCAAUGUUUACAAAUGUAAUUUUAAUGUGAUGGCUAACAUUUAUUUCAACGAAAUUUCAAUGUCUACAUUUACAAAACCACUUUUUUCGCAGAAUUUUUUCCACACCACAAGCUUGUUAAAAUUCUUGCUAAACAAUGUAAAGAAGUUUGGAAACGAUACUAAUUAAGGUUUCCUUACUGGCUUUACAAAUUGCAUUUUUCACCAAAAUUGUUGCUCACGUUUAUUAAUCGAUUUUUCUAAAUAAAAAAACAACAAUUCAUUUUAGAACUAAGCCGAUCUGUUUACACAUGUGUAUGUGUAAACUCCAUAUAGUCAACACACAGACAAUGUUUCAUACGUUAUCUUGAACUAGCAUCUUGUCACAUGCAUACGCAUGCGACAAUUUGCCUUUGUAUGUUAAAUUAAAGUUUUAUUAUGAUUUUUUACAUAAUAAAUUAAGAAAUUCAAUUUUUGUUAUUUAUAUAUUUUUAUUAAUAAUAUUUUUGAAAAUAAAUUAGAAGUUAAACAUAAACCGUGGGGUUUUGCUAUUUUUUUCUUUCUAAAGUUUAAAAUUUUAAAUUCGUUCAAAAUUAAUAUUUGUUGAAUUAUUUUAACUCCUUUUAAUUCAAUAGUAAUUUAAAAAAAUUUAGAGGCAAUUUAUGGUAUUUUGAAAAGGAAAACUAAUGAAAAUGACUUGAAAACUUUGAAUUUUAAUGAUAAUGACAAAAUAAAGAGUAAAAUGAAUAGUAUCAAGAUUGACUUUUUUGUGUAAAAAUGUGGUUUUUCGUUAAAGUAAACAGUACCGAGAGCUUUUCGUUAGUUCCCAUUUUGAAAUUAACCUGCAUGCAUGCAGUUUGACUACUUUGGCCUCCCAGCCAUUCGGUUCUUGUCCAUUUUUUCCACCCUGUUAUGAAAGUGAAAUAUACCUAUACUGUACUACGAGAACAUGAGACAUGCAGUGUUACUUUCAACAGGUGGCACGCCUUGCUACCUCACACUUAUCCUCCUUGAUCAAUCCAUAUCUACACAUUCAAUCAACUCUUGUGCAUUACGUACGUCGCUAUGCUUUUUCAAAAGUCUCUCUCAAUUUCAUAAAAAUUGCAGAGCUGGGUGUAGCUACAUAAGCUGCAAAAGCACAAAUAGAAAUAUUAUUGCUUAUAUAAAAGAAUUCAUACAACUUUGUUUUUUUUUUUUUUUUUUGCGACCAUUCGGUUAAAUUUUGUUUUGCAUGUAUUAGGGUAAAGGGAGUGUGAUAUUCUCUCCUUCUAAUCUCUCUCCCCUUCCUUCCCAUCCUAUUUGAAUAGUUAUGAUUAAAUCACAUCAACAUCUUAUAUUGAUUUCCUUAUAGAGAGAGAAAGACAAAGAUGAAAGGAAAAUGGGGAGGCACUAGAAGAAAAAAGCUCAUCUAUCACGGUGAAUACCCGUGAUAAAUUGCAAUCUACCACGGACACUGUGCCCGUUAGUAUUCUGGAUGUGAUAAAAAGUCUCAGUUUCUACCACAGGCUAUGUCCGUUGUCAAAUGCAAUAUAACCACGGAUUGUACCCGUGGUAGAUUGAGAUCUAACACCACAUGCUAUGACCGUUGUCGAUUACUAAUUGACCACAUCUAAUGCCCGUUAUAAAUUAUUUUCCAAAAUUAAAAAAAAUAUAUUUAACAAAUAUAUAUAUAUAUAUUGAUUUAUUUAUUUAUAUAUUUUAGUACAGAAUAAUCAACAAAAUUGCAUAUUUACUACAAUAUAAUAAUUACAUAAAAAAAUACUUGAUAAUAUUAUAACAUAAUUUAAAAAUACUUGAGUUUCCAAAUGAAUACAUAAACAACAAAAGUCAUAAAGUACUAUCCAUGUAGUGCCUAAUGAAUACAUAAACAACGGAAGUCAUAAAAUACUAUCCAUGUAGUGCCAAAGUACCAUUUUCUAGUCUAAGUACGAACUAAAAUUACUCUCCAACUCAGACGUACUUUGAUGGCCAGGCAAUUGUACUAGAUAUAGCAUCCUCCACGACACGAAAUUCACUUGUAGGGCGGUACAAAGAUAUAUUCUCCACUCUUACCCAAACUUUCCAUCAAUCAGGAUCAAGCACCAUGUGAUGAACUUUCACCUCAGGAUUUGUUGAUUCUAUUUCUCCAGUUGCAACAACUUGUCUAUUUCCGAGCCAAUUUAGUAACUUGCAUGAAGACCCUCGUAAAAUACCAACAGGUUUAACUAGCAUAAAGAAACCAAAUAAGAACAUCAAUUUCAAAUGAUUAAGUUAUCAAACUAUUUAACAAUUAUUAUCAAGCGUGUGUUACUACCUGAGAAGUGGCUUUAGACCUUUCUUUUCUCUUAAUGCUGUCUCUUUCUAUGUUUGGACUACUUCUCUGUGACAAUCGAACAUGGAAGACACAAAAUUCGAACAACUUAUAUCAAAAUAUCAUAAGUUUCAUAAGCUAACUAUUUAGUACUUGUUCUCGUAUACUUGGGAACUAGCUUUGGAAGCUUGUCUAGAAGCAUCGUCAGCUUCUCGUGCACUUCUUCUAUCACAUUGUAUCUAAUAACAAAACAAAAACAGUUGAAUUAUCAACAUCUGCUAUGUCUUAAUAUAUUAAUUUGUACACAGGAAUGGCCUCACAAAACAAAAAUAAUUUAAUUAUCUAAUAACAAAACAGAAAUUUGCUCUGCCGCCGAUGGAGCCACAAAGAAGGAAAUUGGCCGAGCAAAAGAAUACAUAUUGAAACAACUGGGAUUAGAGAAUGGUUAGUGGAGAUGCAAACAAUACAUGCUGGGGACUUUAUGGUGAAAUUUUUUUUGUGAAAAAGGUAGAGAAAUUCAUACAAAAAGACACAUAGAAACCAUCUUCUUAGCAAUCAAUAUUAUAUAAAAAAAAAAAGUGAACAAGCAUUUUCUUUACAAUGUUUACACUAGUAUAGUCGAAUUUGCAGUUUCAAUUGAUCGAAGUAUUACUACUGCAUAUCUUUUUUCCUUAUAUAUAACUGGUUCGUGCUCUGUGUGUGUGUGUAUAUAUAUAUAUAUAUGCACGUGUAUAAAUAGAGUAAAGCAGAACGUAAACUUCAUGGGCAAGUCAUCAAAAUCUGAACAAAUAGUUUUCAAUUCAACAACCACAAAUUCAAAAAGCAUUCCAGCCGAUGGCUACAUACCCCAAUCGCAAUCAUGCAUAUACAAAUCACAAAUUCAAAACCCUAGCUCCCAAAUUAACCAGCUCAAAAUCUGAACGAAAAUUGAAUUAAUUUAAAUUAAAACCUGCUAAGAAUAGGAGUGCUGACCCUCGCAAACAGGGCUUUCAUCGAAGUUCUUAGAGGGGUACUUGGCGGAGACCAUGCCGACCUCGAACACCAAGUUGUCGCCGCUCGACCGGAUUCCCGUGAUCGACCACCACUGGAAGAAGGCCCGGACGCUGAUGCCGUUGAUCUUGGCGAUUUAUGACGAUUCGAAGAUGAGGGGGAAGGGUGGAUGGAUGACGAGUCGAUGAGGAGAAGAGAUGAGGGUUUGGUGGGUUGGUGCAGAGGAGUGGAGGGAUAUGGGAAGGUGGGGGAGAUAGAGGACGAUAAAAAAGGAUUGACGGUUUCUUUUUAGGGUUUUCGUCCAGUUUCACGUGAGGGGAAAAUAAUUGGGAUUUUAGAUUUUAAUAUCUUUCAAAAUAUUAAAAAAAAACAAAAAAACAUCCACCACGGGCCAAGGGCGUGGUGAAUUGUCAAAAGGUGGUGUGUGGUCGUUUGAAGUAACCACUACGAGCAUAUCGCGUGGUGGUUUUGAUAUUCCAUUAUGGGAAUAAAAACCGUUGUAAAUUAUUCACUUUUAACAACGGGCCAGAACUUGACCGUGGUGGAUUAAUGUUAUCUACCAUGAGCUACACUCGACCGUGGUAAUGAAAUAGUUUCUACCACGAACUGUUGAUGCCCGUGAUGGAAUUGAUGUGGUAAAUAUGAUGUUAUGUACUUGUGAGGAUUAGGGCGGGAAAAGAAUCGUAGUCCAAGGUAAAGAACUCAUUCACAUGCAAGAUUCGACUCCAUUAUUAAUCAGCCGUUGGAUCUUGAACUCUCUAUAAGUAUUAAACAAAAUGAGUCCAUCUAUCUCACCCAAAAAUCAAUAAAAAAUGAUUCCUUCAGAAAUAGCCAUCCUAAUCCUUGUAUUCCUUACCUUCCUGUGGUCUAUCCUCUGCAUCCUAAUCAAUGCCUUCUCAAGGCAAAGCCGAAAACUACCUCCUGGCCCUAGGGAACUACCAAUCAUUGGCAAUCAUUGGCAAUCUUCAAGUUUUAUUGUUUUUUACUCUCUUAAUCAUCAAGUUUUAUUGCUAUUCACUUUCAAGGCAAAGCCAAAAACUACCUCCUAGCCCUAGGGCACUAACAAUUUUUUACUCUCCUCACCAUAUAAUAAUUCAACAACGCCAAGUGAUUCUCUUGUGUCUUUUCUAAAAUCAACAAACACUAGUGAAUCAAAUUUUAGAAUAACCUAGUUUAACAAUAAAUUAUUGAAAAAGAAAAUUUAAAUUCAAAGUUAUGGUUACCUCAAAUUACAAUCUUCAGGACCAAGUGAUAGUUGCUUAAACAUUCAAUAGAAAUAGAAAGACUGGGAAGUUAAAAGAAAAAUGAUUACAAAAUUAUGAUUAUUUUGGUUUUUGUUAUUUUUUUAGGUUAUUUUCAAAAGCAAAAGAAAAAAAUGCAUUUGGAUAUAUUAAGGCCAUUAAUUUCAGUAGCUUCUUGUCACACACGUGGGUGUGUGACAAUUGACCUUUGUAUGUUUUUUAUUUAAGAAACUCAAGUUUUUUCUAUUUAUACAAUUUUUAUUUAAAAUAUUUUUGAAAAUAAAUAAGAAUUUAAACAUAAACCACCCACUAACAUGAGGUUUUGUUAUUUUUUUUCUAAAGUUGAAAAUUUUAAAUUCAUUCAAAAUUAAUAUUUAUUGAAUUAUUUUAGCUCCUUUUGAUUUUUGAUUUUAAAAUUUUUUAGGAGCAAUUUAUCUUUAAUUUUAAUCUUUAAUUUCAUAGAUUUGAAUUUUAACUCCUUUUGAUUCUUGUAAUUUUAAAAUUUUUUAAGAGCAAUUUAUCUUUAAUUUUAAUCAUUAAUUUCAUAGAUUUGAAAAAAGCAAAAACUAAUGCCUACAAGGUGUUUCGAACUGCCCACCCCAAUGAAAACGGAGUGGAACCGUUUCCACUGCACCAACGAAAUAAUUGUAAUGUUUCUUAUGUUUCCACUGCACCAACGAAAUAAUUGGGGGCCCUAGACGACCGCCUACCUCGGCUACCCUCAAGGCCGGCCCUGACUAGAACAAGACAUGUUACUUUCAAAAGAUGGCACACGUAUCCUCAUGUUGUCCAUAUCCAUCCAUAUUCAAUCAACUCUUGUGCAUUCUUCUUCAAAAUUCUCUCUCAAUUUCAUGAAAAUUACAGAAGUAGGAGGGUAAAGGGAGUAGAAUUUUAUCCCCUCUUUAUCUCUCUUUCUUUCCCUUCUUUCUAAUUUGAACAGUUUACAAUUAAACCAUGUCAACAUCUUUUAUUGACUUCUUUAUAGAUAGAGAAAGACAAAUAAAAAAGUGUGAGAGAAUGAAAGAAAAAAAUGGAAGGAAUUAGGAGUGGAGACAAUCCUAAUAGAGGUUAAAGAACUCAUUUUCCACAUGCUGGCAUUGGGUAAUAUAUCAAUCAGUUGUUGGAUCUUGAACUCUCUAUAAGUAUCAAACAAAAUGAGUCUACAUGUAUAUAUAUGUGUGUGUGUGUCUAAUGUCCCAUUUAUCGAUCUCACCCAGAAAUCAUAUAAAAUGAGUCCUUCAGAAAUAGCCAUCCUCAUCCUUGUAUUCCUCACAUUCCUAUGGUCUCUCCUCCGCCUAAUCAAUGCCUCCUCAAGGCAAAGCCGAAACUGCCUCCUGGCCCUACGGCACUACCAAUCAUUGGCAAUCUUCAUAUGCUAGGCAACCUCCCACACCGUAGCCUCCAAAACCUGGCAAAAAAAUAUGGACCUAUAAUGUCCAUGCGUCUAGGGUUCAUACCAACCAUAGUGGUCUCAUCUCCCAAAACAGCAAAGCUAUUCCUCAAAACCCACGACAACAUUUUCGCUAGCUGCCCCAAACUCCAAGCCUCCGAGUACAUGGCCUACGGCACGAAGGCCAUGGCCUUUACUGAAUAUGGCCCAUAUUGGCACCGUAUUCGGAAACUCUACACGCUUCAACUUCUUUGUCCCUCGAAAAUCGAGGGUUUUGCUCCGCUAAGAAGGGAGGAGGUAGGGUUGUUGGUGCAGUCCCUGAAGGUAGCUGCGGAGGCGGGCGAGGUGGUGGAUUUUAGUGAGAAGGUCGGUGAGCUUGUUGAGGGAAUCACGUAUAGGAUGGUGUUGGGGAGAAAAAAUGAUGAUAUGUUUGAUCUCAAGGGGAUUAUUGAGGAAGCCCUAUUCUUGACAGGAGCUUUCAACAUUAGUGAUUAUGUGCCUUUCCUUAGUCCACUUGAUCUUCAGGUAUGUUACCCUUCAUUCUUAAAUACAAACUUGAUAGAUGAAUCAAUAAUAAAACUAGCGAAAUGCUAGGAACACCGUAAAGUAGGGACAUUUAUAAUCAUUGCACACACGCUAUUGCUAAGCACAAAUACAAAGUAGAGGCGUUGCAAAUAAGUGCACACACGUAUGGCAACUGAUUUUAGCACUACUCUUCUAAAAAUAUUUAAACUCUAUUAUUUAGAUGACGUAUUUAGAUGACGUAUGUCAACAAAUAAAGUGAACGAGAUUAAUUCAUAGUUUAGGGAAACCGAGCUCUUUUGGAUGUGCUCUUAAAAUGACUUAAAGUGUUUUUGGUAAAAUUAUUUUUAGAAACAAUCCUUAAUAAAAAUGCUAGCAAAUCUUGGAAAAACACUUAAAUGCUUUCUGGAAGAAGCAAAUAUAACUAGUGCUUCUUGUAGAAAGCACUUCAAAUAUUACUUUUAGAAUCCAAAAACAUUUUUUCUAAAAACGCUUUCAGUCAUUUUAAAAAGUAUAUCCAAACACAGCGAGUAACUAGUUCACAUUCGUACAAAUUAAUCUGAGAGGAAUAUCUGUUUACUUUAGCGAGCUCACUUAUCGUCUUUUUGCUGGUGAUAUGAUUCACAAAGUCAAAGCAUCCACAAAUUGUAAAUGCAAAAUCAUAUGAUUCAUAUCGUAUGGUCCAUUCCAUAGCCUGCUGACGAUAAACUAUCUCCUAAUUAGAGAUGUAAAAAUAUAUUUACAUCUCAUCUCAUUUUAUAGUUUCAAGAGGGGUAGAUGGGAGUUCUAUGCUAAUGAGAGUGAUGUAAAUUUGAGCUUUUAUUUAAUUUUCUCUCUUAGAGUAGCGGAGUCCACCAUACAAAAAAUAUACAUCUAUAUAUAUAUAUAAGUUCUUAUUUAUAUUUUCCAAUCAAUAUUUUCCAUCUUUCUGACCAACUUAAAGUAUUAAAUACAAAUUAUAUACAUCCAUAUAUAUAUAAGUUCUUAUUUAUAUUUUCCAAUCAAUAUUUUACAUCUUUCUGACCAACUUAAAGUAUUAAAUACAAAUUGCUCCCUAUCUUAUGCAUUUGGUUGCCAAUGGCAUCCGGGAUAUUAUUACAAUAGCAAUGGAUUUAAUGCAUAAUUCAUUAUUUUAGGAACCUUAAUUUCUGCAAUCAACUAUACAAAUUUAAAAUAUAUUCAACAUGCUCUUUAAGGGAAGAUCUCCAUUUAAAAAAAAAAAUAGUUGUAGGUCUCACUUCACAUCGAACUUCAAUAAUAAGAAUUGUCUAUAUUUUGUCUCUAUUCAUAGGUCAUUCUUGCAAAAAAAUCAAUUCAAUCCAAAAUCAUUUGGUCAUUUGAUUGUCACGAUGAAAUUUUAAUAUAUGUUUCUUAUAACAUAAUGUUCAUCAAUGUCUUGGAGCUCAAUUAGAUUAAUUGAUGCCUCAAACAUUUUUUAUUUGGCUAAUUUUGCAAGAAUGAUUUAAGAGGUACAACUUGAAAAUAGACAAUUAAGAUAUCAUUGAAGUUCAAUGUAGUAUAGACUCCACAACUAAUCUAAAAAUGAGAAUCCCUUCCCUUAAAAGCAUAUGUUACAUGUAUGUGUUUUUUUUUUCUUAUCCUUCAUAAAGGAUGUAAUACUAAUACUAAGGAUUUUAUUUUACCAUUGAAAAUGAGGAUUUUACAAAAAUUCAAAAGAUAAAAUGCUAGUAAAUAUGUAGAUAUAGAUUUUGAGGCCUUACGUAGUGGGUAAAAUUGAGUUUAAGUCCAAUUUUAUAAGAAUCAAACUCCUAGGGCGGAAAAUUUGCAUUUUACAUGAGUGACUCCGAUUAUUGAGUUUAAUAAUUACUAAUGACUUUAAUUCCAAUAAAUGAUCAACCAUUUGACAGAGAAAAAUAGAGAUUAAUACAUAAAAUAAGGAAAAAAAAGUCCAAUAAUAUUAUAGGAAUCAAACUCAACGUACAUGAUUAUAUAUAGGAAUGAAACUAAACAAAACUAACGUUUCUCUCUGUAAUUGUUCUUUCAUCUCAGAAAAAAGGGUUGCACAUGAUCCCUUAUACCCAUGUGAGAGUGUCACCGUAUGUGCACAUGAUCCCUUAUACCCAUGUGAGAGUGUCACCGUAUGUGCCUAUCCUCACCCAAAAGUUACUCCAAAAAUACAAGAUGUAAUAGCUUUUAUAUAUGCAUUCAUGUCUUGUCCAUUUCAUUGUCUAAUAAAAAUGAUAGCUACAGUACUCAACUAGAAGUACAUAUGAUUGAUUGAUUGUAUGGAAUCUUAACUAUUUCUUCCACUUAGGGAUUGACCAAGCGCAUGAAGAGAGUUAGCAAAACUGUCGACCAACUACUCGAAAAGAUAAUUAAGGAUCAUGAACAAGUUUCCAGAAGUGAGGUACAAGGCAAUCAUCAUAAGGACUUUGUAGACGUGCUGCUUUCAUCAAUCCACCAACCAUUAAACCCCAACGAUGAGGAAGUCUACAUGCUCGAGCGAACAAAUGCCAAAGCCAUUUUACUCGACAUGAUUGCGGGUGCCUUUGACACCUCAGCCACGGCGAUUGUCUGGACCCUGGCAGAACUCUUGAGGCACCCGAAAGUAAUGAAACGUCUCCAAGAAGAGCUCCAGAGUGUGAUCGGGAUGGAUCGAAUGGUGGAAGAAAGUGAUUUGCCAAAGCUGGAUUACUUGAGCAUGGUGGUCAAGGAGAGCUUAAGGCUAAAC
rnacentral:lncRNA from 1 species